UUAGAGCCUGACCAUUCAUGCACUCCAACCAUAUUUGAAACAACCACACAAAAGUACUUGUGUCCUCGCUUGAAAUCAAGCCAGCCCCUAACAGUAUAGACUGCCCAUGAUGAUUUACACCAACAAAUGGAGCAAACGACAUACUAUAUCUAUUUGUUAGGUAUGUCGUAUUGAAGGUGAUAACAUCUCUGAAAUACUCAUACGCUACCCUAUUACGUGCGUUAGCCCAGAACACAUUUCUCAGUCUCAGCUCGUCAUCCACAUCAAUCACAUAAACAAAACCAUCAUUCUGCAACCUCAUCCUCUUGAAGUACUCAGUGAGUGCUU